AACGAACGCUGGCGGCAGGCUUAACACAUGCAAGUCGAACGCCCCGCAAGGGGAGUGGCAGACGGGUGAGUAACGCGUGGGAAUCUACCCAGUUCUACGGAACAACUGAGGGAAACUUCAGCUAAUACCGUAUACGCCCUACGGGGGAAAGAUUUAUCGGAAUUGGAUGAGCCCGCGUUGGAUUAGCUAGUUGGUGGGGUAAUGGCCUACCAAGGCGACGAUCCAUAGCUGGUCUGAGAGGAUGAUCAGCCACACUGGGACUGAGACACGGCCCAGACUCCUACGGGAGGCAGCAGUGGGGAAUAUUGGACAAUGGGCGAAAGCCUGAUCCAGCCAUGCCGCGUGAGUGAUGAAGGCCUUAGGGUUGUAAAGCUCUUUCAGUGGGGAAGAUAAUGACGGUACCCACAGAAGAAGCCCCGGCUAACUUCGUGCCAGCCGCCGCGGUAUUAC
rnacentral:rRNA from 1 species